rnacentral:rRNA from 1 species
CCGUCGAGCCCGCAUAGAGGAGGCAAGAAAGAAAAGAGGAACACAACGACAGCGCAUACUCGAGGCGUAACAACUGACUGACCGGACCGGGCCCCUUUGGAGAGAACGCGACGUGAUGUGCUUGACUCGACCCGACCCCGGCUGGUGCCUCGCAGAGCAUGUGUCUGCGACUGCCGCCAACGGCCAGGCAGAUGCAUGCAGACGCAAGCACUCGAGGACAGGCCCAAGAACAAAUAUAUGAGAGAAAAAAAAACUCCCAUUUUUGGUAUAAGAACAAAUAUAUGAGUUGUCCUUGGUGACACCCCAGAGAGGAGAGGCGUACUAGGGAUUAGGUAGAUCUGGUCUCAGCGGCAGCGUAGGAAACGGCGUCAGCGGCGGCGGCGGCGACGUCAGAAGAGGCAGCAAGAAGUGGCCGACUAGCAGGCGAAGGCGACAGUAGAGGAAGCAGGCGGCGGACGGGGAUAAGACUCAAAGACUGUGCCCUAACUCCCUCACGCCGGCCGUCGGUUUGCUGCGUCUUCCUUCAUCCUUGGUGAAGCCGUAUCCUUUUUUGCUCUGACUGUCCUUUGGUAACCUCUACUACCUUACAAAGGACUAACGAAGAACAAGCUGAUGUAGGUGUUCCGUGCUCUUCGUCCCUUAUUAAGUUUUUACCAGAGAAAGACAGUUAACUAAAGUGCGAUUACUUACAACUACAACACUAAAAGAGAUUAAGUGCCGCGCGCACUCGAUACCAAACUAUUACAUUCUAUUGAACCCUAGACAUGUUCGUCGGUCUUCCCCGAAACAACUAGUUCACAAUUGUAGAUCUUGUUCGACUUCGAAAUCGAUAUUCUGUACGAGAGUUGAAACGUCGUCUUCGUACAAAAGUCUUUUACCUUUAACGUAGUCUAACGAACUGUAACUAGUUGUUCUACUUCCCGCGUCUCGUUCUGUUGAGGGUCUCAUCAAUCGUAGUAUUAACUACUAUAGUAUACAUAUUGGCACUUUAAACAAAACAUAUAAAGCAGUGCAUUUAUACAGAACAUUCCUUCAUCGAUUACAAAACCUUUUUAGUUGGUCUAACGCUCCUGGUUAAAUACGUUUAUUGUCUUAAAGUUACCUACUUUCGAUUACUUUAUAGGUAGACUGGAGAAAGUCUUUUAAAGACUAAAAAAGAGAACAAAGAGUCUAAACGACGGCCUUCUUCUUGGUGGUACCAGUAGGAACCUCCGGUGCCACAGUCUAAGGCGGUACCGGUAAGGGUUGGAAGAGGUGUCAUCACAGCAAAGUCUGGACGCCGUCGGGCUAGGCGCCGACGGCAAAGCUAGGCAAGUACCCUACUCUCCUGCGCAAGCCGCACGCUGCUUCUACUGAUGUCAAAGCAGGCGACGUGACUCGCGGCUCGGCCGCUCGACCCGGCGAUCAGGGUAGCACAUCUACUGUAACAAGACCAGCGAGUCGGUAGUCUUUAGGUGCUAGUUUAGGGGCGACGUGGCUUCUUCGUCUUUGUCGUUAGGAGUACGCAUAAACAAGUCUAAAGUCUUAGUUAGUGACGCAUUGAGUGCCCUCGGCCCUAACUGAUCAAAACCUCGGCU